CUGGCAGUCAGACGUGUGGAUCGCAAGUCCGGAAAACCAAGAGCCGUAGCCCCAGUGCAAAGUGGAGGAAAGGUCUCAAACAGAUUCGCUGUCCGUGAACGGUUUACUGUUGCGGUUUACGGGUCGCGUCUCAGAUUUUCAUCCGUUCGAUCUAAACCAAACUAAACUAAGCUCAACUAAUCCAAAACUAAACCAAGCCAGAGACCAAACAAAAUAGAGAAAAACUUGUUGAAGUACUUGAUUGAUGUGUGUGCCCAAUUGCCUGCCGAAUCGAGCGAGCUAAACCGAGAAGGAGUCUCCGCUGCCUGGAAAAAAGGCAUGCAUCGGGCUCUCCAGCGCGCCAGUUAUCCAGCCUCUCAGCUCAGCCGCUCAACUUGUCGACUUUCGGCCCAAACCGCUGACCAGGCCAGGACCUCACAGGAUCUCAGUUUCCAGGACGAAACAGAACAGAACGGGACCCGGCAGUCCUCAGCCAUGGCUGUUGAAUAAUUAAUGCAGUUUCGUCCGCAGGUUAGCUUAGCCCCUUAGCUUAGUUCGAGAAAGUCAGAAUGCAGGACGUCUCAUUUAAAUGCGCACUGCGAGUCUGAGGCUUCUCGAAACGCCUGUGAGACAAGUUUGAGCUAGCGAGGAAUAUAAUAGAUUUCAAACUCACGAUGAUGUAGAACUGAAGGUGCGUUUGAAAGCUUGCCCAAAUGCCAAUUCCUUUCAAGAGA